rnacentral:rRNA from 1 species
UCCAGACUCCUACGGGAGGCAGCAGUGGGGAAUAUUGCACAAUGGGGGGAACCCUGAUGCAGCGACGCCGCGUGAGUGAAGAAGUAUUUCGGUAUGUAAAGCUCUAUCAGCAGGGAAGAAAAUGACGGUACCUGACUAAGAGGCCCCGGCUAACUACGUGCCAGCAGCCGCGGUAAUACGUAGGGGGCAAGCGUUAUCCGGAUUUACUGGGUGUAAAGGGAGCGCAGACGGCUGUGCAAGUCUGGAGUGAAAGGCGGGGGCCCAACCCCCGGACUGCUCUGGAAACUGUAAAGCUGGAGUGCAGGAGAGGUAAGCGGAAUUCCUAGUGUAGCGGUGAAAUGCGUAGAUAUUAGGAGGAACACCAGUGGCGAAGGCGGCUUACUGGACUGCAACUGACGUUGAGGCUCGAAAGCGUGGGGAGCAAACAGGAUUAGAUACCCCCGUACGC